rnacentral:rRNA from 1 species
CCUACGGGCGGCUGCAGUGAGGAAUAUUGGUCAAUGGGCGAGAGCCUGAACCAGCCAAGUCGCGUGAGGGAAGACGGUCCUAUGGAUUGUAAACCUCUUUUGCCGGGGAGCAAAAAGCGGUACGUGUAACGCAUCGAGAGUACCCGGAGAAAAAGCAUCGGCUAACGCCGUGCCAGCAGCCGCGGUAAUACGGAGGAUGCGAGCGUUAUUCGGAUUUAUUGGGUUUAAAGGGUGCGCAGGCGGCGAGUUAAGUCAGCGGGAAAAUUUCGGGGCUAAACCCCGACAAGCCGUUGAAACUGGCUUGGUAGAGUGGGCGAGAAGUAUGCGGAAUGCGUGGUGU